rnacentral:rRNA from 1 species
AUGCACAAGACCACCACCGCGGUCCGCGUGCUGCACCCGUUCACGCGCGACGUGGUCGACUUCCAGCCCCUCGCUACUCUGUACCACCAGGCGGUCAGGCACAAGGGGUCCCUGCUUGACAUGAACGCCGCGGUGUGCAGCAGCGCGGCGUCCUCCGCAGACUCCAUUGCCGUGGUGGUCUGGUUCCCCUACACGGACGUGGUGCUUGCUGCCGACCCGGGCUCAGAUUGGGAGGUCCUCCACAGAGGAUUCUAUGUUUGGUGCGCCUUGCCCUUCCAAGGAAGGCUCUAUGCCACCCUGUGUUGUUCGAGUGAGAUUGUGCAGCUAUACCCUCCGAGACGAAACGGACCGCAAGAGAACUCUCUGGUGGUGAUUGCUCGCGCUCCACAUUCUGCUGACCGCGAAGUCUGUAAUUUUUACCUCGUGGAGUCUGGAGGAAGGAUGCUGCUCGCCGUCCGGCAGCCAGCUCCUUAUGCAAAUGGGGCAGAAUGGAAUGCGAUGGACUGGUCGCGACAAUUGGUCUGCAGGCUCUAUGUAGUGGAUCUGAACGGCGGCCAACGCCGUAAGCUCAUCCAGGUGAAGAACAUAGGUGACACCGCGCUGUUUCUCAGCCGCGACCGAUGCCUGUCAGUCUCAGCCAGGGACCUCCCUUCCUUGAGCAGCAACUCCAUUUACCUCAGUCUACCAUCGGACCCCAUUGUGGUGCAUUCGCUGGGCACUGGUUUGUCCGAGCGAUUGGCAGACUCCUGCCAGAUACACGACAGGACAGAGAGGAUCCGCCCCUCUGUGCGUCCCUUCACCAUUGUUGAUCAUCUUAUCACGUACUGCAAUCCUCGCGUGUGGAGUAAAGGGCUAAUGUUCCACGAGUACCACUAUAUACCUCAAUCUUUCGAGGAAUUGAUCAAGAAAAUAAGGGCACAAGAGAAGGAACUUCGGAUUCCACGCAUCGCUGUGCAUUCGCGCUGA